AAUGCUGCUCCAUCUGAGCGAGCAGAGAGCCUUGUUUCAGCCUUGGGGCUCUUUAAAAGGCAUGCAGUUUGUGAUUUGGAAUAAGAUAUGUAAAUCUGGAAUGGCCUUUAGUAUGUUUCUAAGAGGAAAGUUACUCAGCAGCUGCUUUUUGUAACUGUGUCUAAAGUCAUUCCUUUUAAUUCUUGGCAAGAGAUACAAAGAGGGGCUGAGAGGAGAGAAGGGAGAGGCAUGGCUUAUGGGAAAUGGAAUGAUAGCUCAGACCAAAACAAAUUGUUUCUGGUUUCACUUGGGCCCGACUCUAUUAUCAGGAUGAGUGUCAGAUCAGACAACUGCUGGAGCAGAGACAGUCCAGAUGGAAGAGAGAAAAAAAGACCACUUGGAGACAGUUUGCACUUUACGUUCAUGCAACGGUUGCACACCCCUCCACCUCCCCAUCUCCGCCCAGUCUUCGCCGUUCCUUCAGCUCAUCAUUCCAUCAACCUCUUCAGCCAUCAGCCUCAGCAGAGUCAUCAGCCACCACCACCAGACUCCACGGGGGGAUUUAUUCUGCUGCUGCUCAGGGUAGACGAACUCCACCAGCAAAAAGCUCCUCGCGGAGUCUAAGCGCCAAAGACAAGAUUAACACCUCACAUCAUCUGUUAAAUAAAUACUAUCUUUACUUUA